rnacentral:rRNA from 1 species
CCCUUAGAUGUCCUGGGCCGCACGCGCGCUACACUGAUGCAUGCAACGAGUUUAUAACCUUGGCCUGAAAGGUCUGGGUAAUCUUUUGAACGUGCAUCGUGAUAGGGAUAGAUUAUUGCAAUUGUUAAUCUUGAACGAGGAAUUCCUAGUAAACGCGAGUCAUCAGCUCGCAUUGAUUACGUCCCUGCCCCUUGUACACACCGCCCGUCGCACCUACCGAUUGAAUGGUUCGGUGAAGAUCUCGGACUUCGAUAUUUAAUCUUUAUUGAGUUUAUAUUGUGGGAAGUUAUCUAAACCUCAUCAUUUAGAGGAAGGUGAAGUCGUAACA